rnacentral:rRNA from 1 species
CGUGAAUUCAUCUCCGGGGGUAGAGCACUGUUUCGGCUAGGGGGCCAUCCCGGCUUACCAACCCGAUGCAAACUGCGAAUACCGGAGAAUGUUAUCACGGGAGACACACGGCGGGUGCUAACGUCCGUCGUGAAGAGGGAAACAACCCAGACCGCCAGCUAAGGUCCCAAAGUCAUGGUUAAGUGGGAAACGAUGUGGGAAGGCCCAGACAGCCAGGAUGUUGGCUUAGAAGCAGCCAUCAUUUAAAGAAAGCGUAAUAGCUCACUGGUCGAGUCGGCCUGCGCGGAAGAUGUAACGGGGCUAAACCAUGCACCGAAGCUGCGGCAGCGACACUGUGUGUUGUUGGGUAGGGGAGCGUUCUGUAAGCCUGUGAAGGUGUGUCGUGAGGC